rnacentral:lncRNA from 1 species
CAGCCUCUGCAUACAAAAUUAGGGUUUCAUGAUUCCUUAGUCUUUUUUCCAAUUUUCAAUGCGCUUCUCUAUCUGGUCGAUGUGGAUUAACUCGACUCCCAUUCGACUCGUUCCCUUGAAGCAAUAGCGAUUUGUGUUGUUCUUUUUAUAUCUCUUCCGCAAUCCCUUUGUUUGUGGAGAACUUUGGAGCAACUAAAUCAAAUUUUC